AUUAAGUUAGCAAAUUAGUGCAAUUAAUUUAGAAUUAAAAUAUAGUAAUUAAUUUUACUACUUAAUA
rnacentral:tRNA from 1 species